CUUGGUGUUGGUCAAAGCAUGCAAGUAACUGUAGAGUUCUUGCCUAAAACAACAGGGGAUCACAGCCAGGUUUUGCUGCUGCACUACCAUUCAGGCUUUCUUUAGACCUGCAUCAAGAAAAGGAUGAUGAAACGGAGCAGUUUCUGACAGAAAACACUGAUCCUUCUUUGCGAUCUCGUCUUUUUGCUGUUUUCCCACAGCCUCCGGGAGGGACUUGUCCAAACUCAGCAUCAGCUUUUGUCUUUGGAUGACCAGGACAUCAUCAUGAGGCCCCUGGUUGUGAUUCAGUGGAGCAGCUGGUCCAAAUAAACAGGAUUCUGAUCCAUCUUUCAACAGCAAGUGUUUUGUGAAUCCCACAUUGAACUCCCCGAGACUAGAGAAGCAUUCAAAGGAGAAAUCUGGCCCAACAGCACUGCAGAGGUGAACAUCAUCUUCAAACCGCAGGAAGCCAGGAUCUACCAGCAGACUGUUUACUGUGAAAUCACUGGUCGUGAAUCUCGGUUGCCCUCUCUGUAUACAGGGUGUAGGCCCAAAACUGCAGUUCAGCUUCGACUUUCUAGACAUGGGAAACAUUGUCAUCGGCUCAAAACAGAUCUAUAAAGUAGUAUCCAAGUGUAUGAUUAAACAACAUAAACUAAUCCCACUGGUGAAAGAAUGAAAGAAUUGGAAGUUUAUGCAGAGGGUGUUUAAUUGGACCUCGAUUCCACUUCAGCAUCCCGGAGCUCAACUUUGGGGAGGUGUCCUUUGAGUUUCUGCAAACGCUGACAUGUCUCCUUAGCAACACUUCAGUGGUGCCCAUGAGCUUUGGACUGCAGAUUCCCGGAGAUGGUACAGAACAGGCAAGCAUUACCAGCACGGACCAGGUUGCUCAGCUGAAUAGAAGUGAAUGGGGGCCGGGAGACAAAACUGAAAGGAGACCGAAAGAGUUUAUCUUAUUACCCAGCAGAGGCACAGUUUGCGCUAUGGCUGAGAUUGAUAUGUAGGGCUGUGAUUAUCUCGCCCAUACUCCUUUCACUGGUUGCCAGGUACCUUGCGUACCUGUCAUGUGCUGGUCUUUUCCCAUCAAUGGGAGCUGUCAGCACUUUGGAGGGCUAAUCUGUUGGAUGUGUCCGCCUGUCUUUGUGCUUCCUGUGGAUGUGGCUGUCUCCUGUCAGUGUGCAAAUGUGCCUCUCCCACUCUGUGACACAAGUGUGGCUCACCAUGCUCUAAUGAGGCCUCAGCACAAGAAUACCUAUUAGGGGAUUGUGGUUGGUCAUAUUAGUGGAAUGGAAUGAUAUUCCCAGAUGCAUCACACAGCUGGCUGGUAGCCUCCCAGACAUGUUAGCAUAAAAAAUAGCACCUGGAGAGUACUUUGCCUUUCUUCUCGGUUACAUUUCUUGGUGACAGUUGCCUGUGAUCCCAUAUGUGCGGUUUCAGAGCACUUAAAGCACUGCAGGGAGAGGAAUAUUGCUGUCUGAACUGUUU
ensembl:lncRNA